UACGUAGGGAGCAAGCGUUGUCCGGAAUCAUUGGGCGUAAAGCGCGUGUAGGCGGCCCGGUAAGUCCGCUGUGAAAGUCCAGGGCUCAACCCUGGGAUGCCGGUGGAUACUGUCGGGCUCGAGUCCGGAAGAGGCGAGUGGAAUUCCUGGUGUAGCGGUGAAAUGCGCAGAUAUCAGGAGGAACACCGAUGGCGAAGGCAGGUCUCUGGGCCGAUACUGACGCUGAGGAGCGAAAGCGUGGGGAGCGAACAGG
rnacentral:rRNA from 1 species